GAAAAGAGGGUGAAAAGAGCCUGAAACCGUCACGGGGGAAGCGGAUUGCGUUGGAUUGAUGGGCGCUUGUGUGUUCAGCCUUCGGGUGCAUUGGCACAAGUGCUUAUCCGCUGUGAGUUUUCGGGGGUCGAUUUUGGACCCCUGGGGACUGAGGGCUCCCUUCUUUUAGGUGAGGACAGCGGAGUGACGACGCGAUACGACCCGUCUUGAAACACGGACCAAGGAGUCUAGCGCGGGUGCGAGUCGGAGGGUGCAAGCCCGUGGGCGAAGUGAAAGCGAGUUUUAAAAACGAGCAGUUUGGGGCGGCAUAAGAUCGUUGAUCUUAAGACCGACCCGGAGCAGUUGCGCUGGGACCCGAAAGAUGGUGAACUAUGCCGGAGUAGGGCAAAGCCAGAGGAAACUCUGGUGGAGGCUCGUAGCGGUGCUGACGUGCAAAUCGCUCGUCGAACUUGGGUAUAGGGGCGAAAGACUAAUCGAACCAUCUAGUAGCUGGUUCCCUCCGAAGUUUCUCUCAGGAUAGCGGGCCGACAAGUUGUUUUGUGCGGUAAAGCGAAUGAUUAGCGCAUUCGGGGGCGUUUAGCCUUUGGGCGAUUCUCAAACUUUCAAUGCGCAAGGGUGCCGCUGCUUAAUUGAGCGGUACCGGUAAAAACGUCGGCCCUGUGGGCCACUUUUGGUAAGCA
rnacentral:rRNA from 1 species